GAUGAACGCUGGCGGCGUGCCUAAUACAUGCAAGUCGAGCGAACGGACGAGAAGCUUGCUUUUCUGAUGUUAGCGGCGGACGGGUGAGUAACACGUGGAUAACCUACCUAUAAGACUGGGAUAACUUCGGGAAACCGGAGCUAAUACCGGAUAAUAUUUUGAACCGCAUGGUUCAAAAGUGAAAGACGGUCUUGCUGUCACUUAUAGAUGGAUCCGCGCUGCAUUAGCUAGUUGGUAAGGUAACGGCUUACCAAGGCAACGAUGCAUAGCCGACCUGAGAGGGUGAUCGGCCACACUGGAACUGAUACACGGUCCAGACUCCUACGGGAGGCAGCAGUAGGGAAUCUUCCGCAAUGGGCGAAAGCCUGACGGAGCAACGCCGCGUGAGUGAUGAAGGUCUUCGGAUCGUAAAACUCUGUUAUUAGGGAAGAACAUAUGUGUAAGUAACUGUGCACAUCUUGACGGUACCUAAUCAGAAAGCCACGGCUAACUACGUG
rnacentral:rRNA from 1 species